GAUGAACGCUGGCGGCGUGCCUAAUACAUGCAAGUCGAGCGAACAGACGAGGAGCUUGCUCCUCUGACGUUAGCGGCGGACGGGUGAGUAACACGUGGAUAACCUACCUAUAAGACUGGGAUAACUUCGGGAAACCGGAGCUAAUACCGGACAAUAUAUUGAACCGCAUGGUUCAAUAGUGAAAGACGGUUUUGCUGUCACUUAUAGAUGGAUCCGCGCCGCAUUAGCUAGUUGGUAAGGUAACGGCUUACCAAGGCAACGAUGCGUAGCCGACCUGAGAGGAUGAUCGGCCACACUGGAACUGAGACACGGUCCAGACUCCUACGGGAGGCAGCAGUGGGGAAUCUUCCGCAAUGGGCGAAAGCCUGACGGAGCAACGCCGCGUGAGUGAUGAAGGUCUUCGGAUCGUAAAACUCUGUUAUUAGGGAAGAACAAAUGUGUAAGUAACUAUGCACGUCUUGACGGUACCUAAUCAGAAAGCCACGGCUAACUACGUG
rnacentral:rRNA from 1 species